rnacentral:lncRNA from 1 species
GAGUGUGUUGAUAAAUACAAGGCAGCUCAUGUUUCCUGCUGUCACCUGACAAACACUGUAUUUGAUUAGCUACAGGAACUGGCUCCGGAGGACCCCUGCUCGCUCAGCUGGUACAAUGAUGGACCAGCUGAGAAAGUACGUGCUGUGGAGGGAUGAGCAGACGAUGAAGGCCUCCUCCGCCUCUGCCUCCUUCGCCUCCGCAUCUUUCUCUGCCAGCCCUUCAUCUGUGGUGCCUGUGAAUGCUCCAUCACCCUCACCUCCUCCUCCUCCUGUGAGGAGAACAAAGAGGAUCGCUGUCAUAUGUAUCUUCAUUCCUGUCCCUUAAACAUAGGUGUCUUUUCCCAGCAACUUCUCAAAAAGUCAUUUUACGUGGUCCUAACCCUGCAUUCUGUGCGCGCUUUUAUAGCGUCGUCGUCUGAUGAUGAUGAUGAUGAUGAUGAUGAUGAUGAUGAUGCGGCGAUGGUGUCUGCUGUGGAGGAAGUGGAAAAGUCCGACCUCCCUCGUAAGUACAAAUAGAUAAUUUCAGUAAAAUAAACCUCCCCUCUUUGGUUAAUGAUUUAGCGACCCACUGUAUUUUGCAGCUUUGACUACUCCUACACCUACUCCGCCGCCCACCACGCCUACUCCCGGCCCCACAGCACCACAGGCUCCACCUCCACCUGCAGUGUUAAGACGCACUGCUGGAGUGUCUUCCGCAGACGUUUGUCUCCCUGAUGCCUGGAGGGAGACGCUGCCCCCAGGACAGCAUGCCUGGCUCAGCAGGGCUCUCUUCACCAGGGACUCAGCCGGAAAGGCAGCCCUGAAAUCAGAGCUGCAGCUCUGGUACCACCCACCGGGACCACGGCACAUCUACUUCCAGCCUCCAACCUCUCCUGAAGCCUUCUUCCAGCGUCCCUUCUUCCUGUGGAUGCCGUACCGGGUGUGGCGCUGCCCCAUCGUAUGCCCAGUCUGCAAGCACAAGAUGACCUCGUGUGGCAUAUAUAAGACAGUGCGGCGAGUGCUGGACCGCGACGGCUGGUACUACAUGGGCACAGAGUACCUGGAGUGCCGGAGCUGUGGGAAGAAGUUGGCCUCCUGGUGCCUCAGCAUCCUUGGCCAGCUGUCGCAGGAGUACCGAUCACAGUUUCCCGCUGUGCUCACAUACAGGUAGAUCUGGAUUUCACAUCGCUGUUUCAAUGUUGUGAUAUGCGGAGUAGAUUGAAUAAAUCUCCUCCUGCUCCUUCUCCA